CAUUAGUGUUCACACCUGUGUGGAAUAGAAUGUGUGAGGGAGCAAACCUUGGGUCAGAACUGAUAAAAGGCUGCUGCCUGACCAUUCCCCUGUCCUGGGAACAAGGCUGUUAAGCUUCCUAGUCUAGGAGAGGAGUUGUAAAGGUGAACAUGGAGUCUCCAUGCUGUGAGCAGCAGGCUGCAAAGGUCUCUCUAGCUGAGAUUCUGAGGUGUUUUGAGCACCCUAUAAGUGAAGAGCAAGCCUGGGCUAUUUGCUUUCAGUGCUGCUGCAGAAUGAAAGAAUUAGCCCAGGGGCUGCACCCAUCGCUCCAUUCUGUAUUCAUAAAAGGUCCUGGGAGCAUCUUUAUUCAUGCUGAUGGCACUGUUUCUUUCCGGGUGUAUCAUAAGUCUGAUGCUGGAAGCAUUCAGCAGUCAGAGGACAAGCUGUUGGAGUACUUGGGUGUGGUUAUCUAUGAAGCCCUGGACUGGGGAAUUGACAGCCAAGUGGAGCGAGAACUGAGUGAUCCACUGGAUAAACUGCUCUGCCUCAUGUUGAAACUGGAUGAUGAGGGAAUGAAGCCAACAGUCACCCUGCAGGAUGUUAUCAAGGCCUGUGAGGAUCACCUGUCCAUGCCUUCUGAGGCUACCAGACAUUACAAAAUGACCUGUAGGAGUCUUUUUACUGAAUUUAUGGAAAUUCAGAAGCUUGUGUCCAUCAUCCAGACUUCCAAAGAGAGUCUAAAAAAAAUGGAUGAGGAAGAUUUGCUGGAAUACCACACGCAGGAGAAGGAAAAACAGUGGGCAUCCCUAUGGCCCAGUGUCAUCUGUGAACUGCAGAAUGGUGUAAAGCUGCGGAAGGCCACUGACCGACCGCAGCGUCCUGUCCCUCUGAAAGAGUGUACCUACUCCCCUUAUGAAUUACUUCUAGAUGAUAUUCGGCACAAGAGGUACAAGCUUCGGAAGGUGAUCAUCGAGCAAAAAUGCAGAACCCCCAGCAAUGCUGUAGCUGCUCCCAGGCCUCAUCUAAAACCUGUGCUGGAGUGGAAGCUGAAAGAGCGUGUGCCAUCAGAGCCUACUUUACACAAACAGCUCAUGGCAGAAAUUAAGCAACCACAGAAGCUUCAACCAUCAUCAGCAAGGGAAAGCAGGAGCAGGCCCAAAGAAAUGUCUGUGAUUCCAAACAUUGUCUUGAAAUCUCCAAAUGAUAGUUUUUUAACAUCCCAAGAUGCCAGUGCAGCAUUUCAAGUUGUCAACACAAUAGCACAGCAUCCAAGAUCAAGAGUUCAGGAAACUACUCCAAAGCUGCCUUCCAGCACCCAGCUUGCCUCAGCCAGGUCAUCAGUAAUGUCCUACAGCAGCACAGGUCUUGCUGCAGGUCAUACACUUCCUCCCAUGAGCACACCUGUGCUAGGAGACCUUCAAACUAAAUGUUUCCUGAAUAUUGGCCAGCAGCAGCUGCAUCCUUACAGAGGAAGGUCCAAAUCUUUAGACACUGGCCUUCAAAGCAAGGAACUUGACUGUUAUUUUCCUACUACAAGGCCAUCACCAACCAUUGCUGAACUGAUUGGAACCAGAUAUGCAAUGAUAGUGCUGAAAAGGGAAGGCUUUUCCCAAGGAGGUAGUGAUGGUGUCUUUCCAAGAGCAAAGAUUUGUUUCAGCUGCCAUAAGCAGAUGUUUCUUAAGUGGCCUUACAGCUGUUACCUCUGCAGCAGUGUCGUCUGCUGUGACUGCUGCAUCAAGAUGUCCAUGCCCUUCAGAAUGUGUAUGCAUCUCCCACUUCACUUCUUAAAACUUUUGAGACUCUCCACAGAAGAAGACCCAGCUACUCAAGAGCAGAAGAGCUCGGAGUUGCUGCAUGAAAUAGAGCACUGGGAGUGUUAUAGGCGAUCUCUGCCCAAAUGGUGGAAGAUACCUGGUGGGGAGUUGGCCUUCUGUCUGAGAGUGUGUCCUUACUACAUAUGAAGGGGACAUAAGUUUUUCAUCAGCCAGCAGCAGAGCAAGAGGAGGAGAAAACGCUAAAGCCCUGCAAUCCCUGUCUAGACGUGGUGACCUCGGGAUGUAAAUCUGCACUGACGUCCCUGCCUCUUGCCUGCUUUUGUGGAGGCUGACGUCUGCGAGACUCCUGGGCCCCUUCCCAAAGCCAAGUGCCUUGGUCCGGAAUGAAAACCCAACAGCAAGCUGCCUACUGAUGUCGAUCUCCAUCCACCAGGUAAAACGUGAGCCAAGAUGGGGUUUACACCCUAGGUUUUCUGGUGGUUCACCAGCUCACCUGGCUUGCUAUCAGCUCCUCUAGCCAUGGGCUUGUAUUAAUUUGGGCAGGCGUUCUUGGUAAGACUUGGGUUAAUUAGAGGCAUAGGUCAAACUUUCACAAGCUCUACUUUGGAGCUAAACCAUACUUUCAUGACAGCACCUUGAGAGACACUUUUAGGGUGGAAAAAAAGAUGGACAUGGGCUUUGCUUUGAGCCAUCGUGACAUACCAGAGUUGUUUUUUCAGUAGAGCAGAAGCUUGCAUAAGGGCCCAGCCCAGGACGCGCAUAAUGUCCUUCACUGAGCACUGGAGGUACUGCUGUUUGAAAUUGGAGGUUUUGGGGUACACCUCCACAGCCAGAGCAAUGGGUUUGCUCCUAGUGGCACUUCAGGAUAAAGAAGAUCCUCCAUGUACAGCAGAACUCUGACAAGCCUCACAGCUCGGGGGGGAGGCCAGCAGUGUGACAGAGCCCAAAUGGUGCAUCCCAGACCAGACUAAUAACAAGGGUGCCCAUGGAAUGGUUUUCCAGGGGCAUGGCCCUGCGAGCUCUUGAAGGAGAUAUACAGCUUUUUCCCAAAUGAGGUCCUAGGUUACAACAUAAUGGCACUAUUUGCCCAGAUGUGGGCUUUAUUCUGCAUUCAGUCUGACUCCUGGGUCACCGCAAUCUUCAGUGUUAUUUCCUGAAUUCUCCUCUGAAGCCUUCAGUGUGCCUCUGGCCUCAGUCCUGAGCCUCCACUGGAACUGCCAGUUAACACUCAGCUUCCCAGCACCACCCAGGGUUUUCAGCUUUAAUUACCCAUGUGGAGCUCCCCUUCACCCAGCACAAUGAGGUCAGACACCUGCAAGCCCCCAGUUUGGGCACAGUCGCCAUGGUGCUGGAUGAAGGUGGGAGGCAGGCAGCUGCAGCAGAGGAGGCCCAGCUGGAGCCCAGGUCUUGUUCCUCCUGCUUUGUGCCUCAUUCGUGGGCAGCGGGGCCCCACACUGUUCCUCCUGGUCCUCUUUAGGCUUGUCAGCAGCAAGCAAUGUGCUUCUCACCUGCUGCUCUGCUGCUGCCAGGCGGGGGACAAGCUCCUUGCUGAAAGCCUUUCUGAGCAGUUGAGGGAAAGGGUCUUAUUUGAUGUUAUGCAUUGAGACCUUUUUCUUCUGCUCAGCAUUAUCCAAAUUGAGAAAGGCAACUUUGAGGGAGGUUGAAGUAAAUGAGUUAUUUGUGUUGGCCCUAUAGGCACUAAAGAUGGUCAAUGUAAAAAUCGCAGCUUUGAUACACUUGGAUCACAUCUUUCCUUGCUUCAGUGGAGAGAGUGCCCAGAUGGCAUUGCCAUCCUGUGUCCAGCUGCUUGAAAGACUUUAAUUUCUUUCAUCUACUGUAGCUUCCCUUAGCACAGAAGAAACCACAAACAUCACAGCUGUGCAAAGCGAUACAAAGCUGGACGUACGUGCUCAAGAGGCCUGUGAGACUUACAGCACACGGGAGGCAAAUGUUUUUUGAUGAAAUUAUAUACGAGUUGAGUUUCACCAUCGUUUUCAUCUGUCUCUUCCCACUCAAGUGAAAGGAAAUAAAAGGGAAUGCUCUUUCUUAAAAAUUGAGUUUUAAGGGUUUGGAAAGAAGCAGAGAGGACAGAGAGCAGGACUAACAGGUGGCCAAUGCUCUGCCUGGCAUGCUCCCAUGGAUGAGCUGUUUGGUUUUGUUCCGUUCCCAACAGUGCUCUGCUCCUCUGUGUCUCCAAGUGUAGAAUGGGAAGAAGGACAAUGAACAGAUAAGCAAAAUGGGAUUGCAGAUGGGGAGGAGUAGGUGGUUCAUGAGGGAAAAGGAUUAAAAGGGUCAUCAAAUGUCAUGCUGCACUAUUCAACUCGGUAUGAAUAUACUCCCAGGAGCUCUGGGGAGCUGUGUCAUACAGCAAGAUUUCUUGCACUUCCCGUGGACACUGGGCAAGUGGAUCUUGGGACUGACCCAGGCAAGCCUUUCCUGUGCUACUAACAGUACCCACUUUGACAAAAUGCCUCUACACUGGUAAGUCGGAAGCACCGUAUGAGCAUUAUUCUCAUUAGGGAUGAUUGGCUUGAAGGACCAAGAGAAGUCUCCACCCCACCAUGGCCUACAAUGGGGCAAUCACAAGGCAGCAAGUUAAGCAUGAACUUUGGUCGCCACAGGCCUGAGCUCUUCCAGCUCAUGCUCCCUCUGCUUUUAAAGGGGUCCACGGUACCCAGGGAGGAUGGGUGCUGGGUCUGCCAUCGCCAAGCCCUGGUGCGGUGGGAACGCUGCUGUGUGCCGAGGGUGCCGCACCUCCCCUCAGCUCGGAGGCCGGGGAAUGAAGGAGCCGGUGGAGAGGGGAAAGGAAGCAACUUUUUAAAUAAAAAAAAAAAAUAAGUGAUGAAUAGAUCGGCUAAUCCCGGGAAAGCUUGAGAAUAUAGAGCAGCGUCUGUGGGGCCUCCCUUUUUUCUUUUCUUUUUUUUAAUUUUCUUUUCUUUAAUUUCGCUGCAGCACGUAUAAUCAAUUAUGGCCUGAAUCGGGGAUAAGGGGAGGGAAAGUACUUCAAUUCAUAAAUCAAUUUUAUACGGUCAUCAGUCAGGUUGUGAAUGCAAAUACCUCUGUCGGUUUAGGUUAUUCAGAAUUAAUUGACUCCCACCGGGCUGGGCUGCAGAUGGAGAGGAGCUUUCUCACAAAGUCUGCUUGGGCUCAGCAUGGGGGCAGGCAGGCGGGCCGGCUUCCUCCUCCUCCUCCUCUUCCUCCGCUUUCCUCUCCCUGAGCAUUAUGCUGCUGGCACUGGGGAGAGUUUUGUGUGCGUAUGCGUGUCUGUGAGAGGGAGCGGGAGAGAUGCUUGAAGAAAGAAAGGGAUAUGCAAAGAUUAAAGUCACAAGCCCCCUCUUCAGCCUUGGCCUGUGCAGACACUUUUAUGUGAUUAGGAAUGCUUUGCUUUCAAGGGUUUGCUUUUAAGCCUUGAGCUUCUCUUGAACUUCUCCAAUGAGAAAACAAACAGCAGUGUCAAAGCUUCCCCCUGUGCUUGGAAUUCGGGCAAGAAUCGUGUCAUUAAAAAGCCACUUUGCUACUGGGACUUUGGCAUCUGAGCCACUGUUUCAAAGCCCGUCUGGGGCAGGGGAGAUCGAAAGUCAUUAAACAUCUAGUGAUUGUUUUGGUGGCCUAUUGAAAAAUGAGUUUUGGAGGGUUUCAGGCCACCGGGAGGAUGCAGGACACACACCAUCACCUGGUUGUCCCCUCCCUGCACCUCCUGGCUGUGCUGACCAACUUAUCUUGAAGCCUAGAGAGAGCCCAAGGGAUGGAUUUGCACUGAGGGUGAAGAUGAGUGAAAUCCAUAGCCCCUCUUUUCAGCCCCCUGUAGUGCUGCCCUGCUUUGCUGAGCUACAGGGCAAGAGUGGGUGCAAACACCUGGGCACACACCUGCCCAUCACUGUCUUGGAUUGGGAUUGGCACAGCUAGGACUUCUUAGAUAUGGUCCUCUCAGCUUCAAUCUUCCUCUCAGCUCUAUAAACUCUAGAAAAGGAGUCCCACAGUUCUGCACAAGUAAAUAGCUAACUCUUUCCAUUAGCAGACAUGAGAUCCAUUGCCAAAAGAGUUGGUGUAUAUAACCCUCUUUUACAUAUGAGUAGACUGAGGCAGAAAUGACGUGACUCGAUCCAAAACAUCACCCUUUAAAUCCUGGCGUAGCUGGAAAUAAAGCCUAGGUCCUGUGAUCUCCACUCCAUUACUGUACCUUCUAGGACACAGCGGAUCACCAGAGAGCUGAACAAAUACCUCCACCUAUUGCAAAGUGAAAGAUGUUGAAGCUGGCCCAAUGGAACUGACCCACAUGAUCUCAUGGAAACAACAGCUCAGCAAGUCUGACAGUUCAGAGGAGGCCUUGGAGGUAACGACCAUCACUGAGGCUUGACUAUGCGCAAAGGCUGCAGAGGAAGACGAAAGGAGCUGUUUGUAGCUAAGUGGGGAGGUGGAAAACUGCCUUGCAGUCCUUCAGCAGGAGCAGCACGGAGCAGUUCUUGGCAAGGGAAAGCGGGAGGGAGCAGCAGAACAAAAGAACCCUGCAACUUCCCCUCAAUGCUUUCCUCUGUUUUGAGCAAAUCUGCUAUUCUAGUGAUACCCAAAGAGCCAGGUGCCCUGGACAGCCUCCUGCAGGGCUCUGCAAACUUCACAGCACUCCUUAUCUACAAAAUCCUCUGCUUUUUUUACAUAUGCUAUUUUGUUAAAACCUCAAUUUUUUUUCAGAUAUUGUAGUCUAUAUAAGGCACAGAUUGAUUCAUUAGCUCCAGUACCAACCUAAAAGCCCCAGGAAAUUUAUUACCCCUGCUGUAUGCUGAAGGGAAACCUAUAAGAAAGCACAGGACAGGUGUUCGCAGGGCUGUUGAGUCGCUCAGGCUGAAAAUGAGAACUGUGCAGACACAUCCAGAUCCCUUCUGCUGACCUCGGUAUGUCUGACUCUUCCUCCUUCUUCAAAAGCCGCCUGGACGUGAGCCUGGGCUGCCUGUUCUGGGUGGCCCUGCUUGAGCGGGGGUUGAACCUCCAGAGGUCCCUUCCCACCUCAGCCACUCUGGGAUUCUGCGAUUCUGUUUGCUGUGGUCACCAUGGUUUCUUCUACAGCAGCCCCAACUAGAUAUCCUACUUGUGGCUGGCAUUGCAAGACCUUGCUCAGAGGUACCAGCCCUUCAGUGUACUGAGCCUUGGGCACAGCUAGCCCCUGGAUGCAGCUCAGGCUGCCCCACAUCGGCCUCACAUGUGCCUCAUGUUCUGUAGGAGCGUGUGGUACAAGAGGUGCUUUGGAGGGAGCAAGAGGCAGGAGUGUCUGGUGUAUUUGGCCUGUGUGGCUCCUGACACGGCAGCCGGGUGCUCUCUCUUCCCAUGCCCACUGCCAGAAAAUUCAUGCCUUAGAUAAUAAGUGCUGCUGUGGCCUGUUCCGCUCCAACGCUCUCCCCUUUGAGGACUUUGUCUGGGUCCCAUCUCUCUGCUGGCCUGGCAGUAACCAGGUCUGACUCGUAGGAAACGAGUCCAGACCCCUGGGGCUGGAAUAUUUGCCUAGCCUCAGCUGAAUCCCCAGCUAGAAGCCCUUGAGAUGAUCUACUUGGGACUCACCAGGUUGGAAAGCAGUUAAAAAAGUCUUUCAGCUCUUGAUCAAGCGAAUCCAUCAUGUGCAAGAGGGAACCAUUUUAGCGCCCUGCCGCUCUCCCUCGCUGCUUCGUCCUUCAGCGCCUGACAAUGCUCCAUGUGUUUCUGUUCGCUCAGUGUGCAGAGAGGAAGCCUCCCCCUCGCCAGAGCUUUCUUAGCAUUUUUAAUCGUGUUUAUAAAGUCAAAUACCUAAGUGACCAAGAGCUACCAGAGCUGCUUCUCUGCCCAGGGAGGUACCUGAAAUCUCUCCUUGAAGUCCAUGGGGAGAGCCACGCUCUGUUGAAACGCCAAGCGGACCCGGGGCAGAGGCAGAGGGAGGAGUGAGCCCCUUGUCCGACUCACACAGCCCCUUUCAUUGGGGCCCGGGGAAGGAGGGGGGAAUCUUUACACCCGCGAUGGGACUUCUGAAGAAUUUACAGUCGUCUUUUUUGGAGACACGAAAGGUUUUACAGCCCUGGUACCAGCAGUUACAAUGCCCUAUGGAGCACGGGGCCGAGCGUGUGCCAGGGACCCCUUCAUCUCGCCAGAGUCUGGCCGGCGGCCAGGGCCUUUGCACGGGGCCGUGCUUCUCGGCAAGGGAAGGAGUGAGGCUGGUAGAGAGGCCAGAGCAGGGGAGAGGCUGAGUGGAGGGGGCAAGGAGGGGAACAAAGGAGUGCAUGACAGGAGAUGGGGCAGCGAGGAGCAGAGGGAGAUGGAGGAUGGAGGGGAGGCCAGCGUGGGAGGACGGAGAGCUGGAUACACCGACUGGGAGGAGGGAAGGAGAGAGAGAGAGGAGAAGUGCAAAGAGCCGUGGAGGGAGGAAACAUGAGAAGAAGGAAUAACAAAAAGGGAGCCAGGAAGAGGGAAAGGAGGGAAUAGCAAAUAAGGACUGAGCAAAGUUAUAAAGCAAAACAGGGUCUGCAAGCAGGUAUAGCAGGGAGGCCCAGAACAAGCUCAGAGCCCAGUAUGCGGGAAGUCUCAGCACAGAAAAUGAGGCUUGGCAGGGACCCUCCCCAGGCCUCAACACUCACAGAAGAGCUCUUCCGCAUGCCCCGCUUUGCACCAACCUGCACCCCAGGCAGCUCUCAGGCCAACGCUCACCACGAUGAAUGUGGUGGUGUACACUUUUACACAUGCAUGCAAGUGUGUCACACACCCCUAUGUCCUUCAUGCUGUGCACCUGCUGUCACAGGCAGCUCUCCCCUGACCCAUACACCCCAAUCCAGCUCCGCUCCCUCCUCAGCUGGCUGCAACACAAGGCUUGUGCUUUGUGAAGGACAUUAAAGUUUGGCCAUUGGGGUUCACUCUGUGCUGAGGAGAAAAUGAGCCUUUAAGGUCUUUCAGGUUUUUUUUCUUCUUCAGUGAGGGAAAAAUGUCCAACAGAAAAAAUGAGUAUAUAUGUGAGGUAAUUCCUGAAUGCUGCAUCUGCUUGGUUUGCAAAUGGGAAAUUUGCCGUGGGCCCCACACACUGGUAUACCUCCUGCUAGUGGAGCCACAGCAGACGUGUUGCUCUUGGGCCAAAAGGGUUGUACAGAACUACUGCUAACAGUGUGUUCCUGAUCCACUGUGUUUUUAAAGCACAAUAUGCCAACCUAUCCUCAGGGAGGGUCAGCCAGACUCAUAAAAGUUCCUUGUAGUGAACAUCAUGCUCAACACACUUCUCUCUGGUUACAAUGGACAGAAAAUGGCUCUCAGCAGAGAUUUUCUAGACACUUAUCUGCAUUGCCAUAGCCCAGAAAGGGUAGGGAAGCAAAGGGUGAGAGGCCUAGUGACUGCCUUUUGGCGUGAAGAAGCAACAGUGGUUUAAUCUUCUAUUAAAAUUCCUCCAUGCAAGCUGUGCAAACUUCCUCAUGCUAGACAAACAUUGUGCAAAGGGCAAUGUGUUGUUGGUGGGACUCUCCCAUAUGAACAACAUGAGCUAGAGGGCCUAGCCAGCAGCCAGUGGAAGUGGGUUUGUGCACCUGGCCUCCUUGGAAGCAUGUCCUGACACCUGGGCACCACAGCAGUGCCAGAAGGACCUCAGGAGAGCAUCCUGUGCAGGACAGCACCAGUACCAGGCCUUGUCCCUUGAGCACUCCAGGCCCAGUGACACAACUCCUGGGAAGAAGCUGUAGAGAUGGGUUCCAUUAUUUCCAGGCCUGCCGCAUGGCACAGCUCCAUCAGCACGUCAACCAGCAUUUUGGGAAUGCCCAUCUAUUGCCACUAGUUUGUACUGCCUCUUGUUGAAACACCAUUGAUUUAGGAAUGCCCAAGUUUCCUUUCUCUACAUAGUUUCCUUGAAUUUUUUUUCUUCCCCUAGAAAAAUGAAGACAUGCAUGUGGUACAGUGCUAUCUUUUCUACCCAGUUUGCUUUGAUUUGGAGUUCAGUCAGUACAGAAGAAAUGAAAUGGAAACAAGAAUUAUUGUUUCAUCAGUAGUUGAACACUUGUGUUCAUGACAUUAUCUCAUUAUCAGAAUUAUGAGGAGACCAGUGCCUAAGACUCAGUUACGAUACUGGAAAAAAUAGGGAAGCCAGAAUUUAUCAGGAUUAGAGAACAUGCCACACAGUUAGAGGUUCAUCCAUGCUCUCUGGAACCAGAAGUGCUGGUUGAAUUUGCUGUGUUUUCACUCUUCCACCUGUAUUUGCGUGAUCAUUGCAGGUGGCAGUUAAGCCAAGGCAGCAGUCUGGAUACAUGUGGUCAUUGUUGCUAGGAAAGCACGCAGAGAGCUUACAUGUCAGGGCAGGAGUAGAAAGAAGCUGGCUCUUGUGCUGAGAUUCUCUUGUUAAUCCAAGAAAUUCACCCAGAAAAAACCACUAAUGACUUCAAACCAUAGUCCAGUGGCGCCCUGGCGUCCUCAAACUGUAAACAGAAGAGAGAAAAAUAGAUCUGAUAAAGAGCAGUUUGGUUUGUAGGCUUGGAGGAAUGUUAAGUGCAUAGUCCAUGGCAGCAGAAACCAGCAUGGCUGAGCACAGACCUUGGCUCCAGGACUGAUACAGCACCAAUUGCGUAUGUCUUUCUCCCCUGCUGGUGAAUACUUGUCUGCCCAGCUGGUGGGAAGCUGGUUCCUCCUCCGGCCCAACCUGGCCUUCAGCUAUGACACACAAUCCAAAUGUUUCAAAGCUGCCCUUGGAAAGCAAAGGAGCUUGGCACCUUGGGAGGUGUGGCCCACGGCCUUCAUUCCUGAUGUUAUUUGGCUCCCUAAUUUUGGAAAGAGCAGUGGAAACAAUUAGGUCUCUUAAUUUCUCCGAGGCAAGAUCCAAAUACAGAAAAGAAUACAUCUCCCAGGCAGGGAGAAGCGGGGAAUUAACUGCCUUCUUUUGGAUGAGAUCAGAGAAAGCUGAUUUAUGAAGCAAAGAGAAAGCAAAGUGCUUUUAUGGGUAAAAUGUUCCCUGCUUAUUUCCUUUCUGUCAGACUACGUUCCUCCCACGCUUCUGGCUGCAAGCUUGCUCCUUGGAAGCCCGUUUAAGCAUUUCAGCAUGUGCUGAUUUAACUGGGCAAGGAUUCUGACAGAUCCUUGCAGAAGACUUCACAGGAGUUGCUAGAGGUGACUGCCUAAUGCUGACCCGGGGCACGUGGAGGAGUACCAAGCUGGCGAGCCUAGAUCCUUGUGCUCUUGCAGCUCUCCCAGAGCACCAGGCUCUCCGGGGAUGCUCUUCAUAGUCUGUUGGGCCAGGGUGCAUCUCCCCACCUGCUUUUUCUCUUCCCUUGAGGAGUUACGGGGCUCUGAUCCAUGGAGAGAUGCUGAGAGCUGAAGCCACACCAAGGCCGGGGGCGUUUGGUUACUGCUCAGCCAGGGCAAGCGAAAGCAGAACGGGAGAGAAAUUCAAGAGGGUGGGUGUGGAAUGAGAAAGCUUCUGUGAGUGAGUUUCCACACACGGGGCUUUCAGCUCCUGCCAACGCACAUACAAGAUGGAUGAACUCAGGGGAACUCAGAGAGGCUUGUGUCUGCUAAGGGAGGCCAUAGCAAACAUCUGACAUUGAGUUAUGGCAUACCAGCUGGGACACCUGAAGCAUCAAUGCUCUGGCCAUGCUGCCUGCUCUGCUUCAUGGUUCUUCCUGACAAAGAUGUCUUAGAUGCUGGUAUUGACAGGCCUGCUGCAAAGGUGCAUAGAAUCAUGGAAUCAUAGAAUCAUUAGGGUUGGCCAAGAGUACUAAGAUCAUCGAGUCCAACCUAUCACCACCAUGCCCACUAACCAAGUCCCUCAGUGCCACAUCCACAAGGC